rnacentral:lncRNA from 1 species
CAUAAGUCAGAAGAUAGAUGUAGUAAAGGAAAAAAGAAAAAGAAACAAUAACAAGAUUGAAGCAUACAUAGUCAUACUUUGGAAUUGGAUUCUAAUGACAGCACAACAAUGUCAAAUAUUGCACCAUAUUUCUCCUCAACCUCAUGGGCUUCUAAGGGCAAUUAACAGAUCCUGACAUGCGACAGUUCCAAAAAUGUUAAAAUUUUCAAUGGAAAAACGAUUUCGUAAAAUAUCAAACAAUCUUUACUUUCUUCACCUUAAUUAAUCCUUUUAAAAGUUAUUUUUCCAAGAAGUGUUACAUCAAUAUGCUAAGAUCAAAGGUUUGGAAUUACAUGAAGACUACGCCUGUGGAAAAUUCAACAGACGAGAGUAAUAUUAGGGCUAAGUAAAAAUGUAACAAGAGAAUGUUUGAGUACAAUAAAAAAAAAAAAGUAUACAAAAAUAGGGAAUGGGUCACCUGUAAUACUACGAUGUAUGUUACCCAAAGGUGUUGCAUUGAUUGGACAACGUUCCAUCAAGUCGUUAUAUCAAUUUCAAUGCCUACAAGCCACCCAACUUAUAGAUUUCUUCUCCUCCGUGUGACUUGUUCCCUAAAUGGCUAAAUGUAUAUAUUUUAGAUAAUUAGGUUUUAUGGAAAAUUUAAAAACCUGUUUAUUGGUUUUUUUUUGUUUUUUGUUAAUUAUUGUCUAUGUACCCUAAAGUGGUAGGCAAAUGGAAA